rnacentral:rRNA from 1 species
AUUGAACGCUGGCGGCAGGCCUACCACAUGCAAGUCGAGCGGAGCGGCGGACGGGUGAGUAAUGCCUAGGAAUCUGCCUGGUCGUGGGGGAUAACGUCCGGAAACGGGCGCUAAUACCGCAUACUCUCAGAUGAGCCUAGGUCGGAUUAGCUAGUUGGUGGGGUAAAGGCCUACCAAGGCGACGAUCCGUAACUGGUCUGAGAGGACGAUCAGUCACAAUGGAACAGAGACACGGUCCAUAUUCCUACGAGAGGCAGCAGUGGGGAAUAUUGGACAAUGGGCGAAAGCCUGAUACAGCCAUGCUGCGUGGGUGAAGAAGGUCUUCGGAGUGGAAAGCACAUUAAGUUGGGAGGCGGUACCAACAGAAUAAGCAACGGCUAACUUCGUGACAGCCGCCGAGGUAAUAC